rnacentral:rRNA from 1 species
UAGGGAAUCUUCCGCAAUGGACGCAAGUCUGACGGAGCAACGCCGCGUGAGUGAAGAAGGAUUUCGGUUCGUAAAACUCUGUUGUUAGAGAAGAACAGCGCAUAGAGUAACUGUUAUGCGUGUGACGGUAUCUAACCAGAAAGCCACGGCUAACUACGUGCCAGCAGCCGCGGUAAUACGUAGGUGGCAAGCGUUGUCCGGAUUUAUUGGGCGUAAAGCGAGCGCAGGCGGUCGAUUAAGUCUGAUGUGAAAGCCCCCGGCUCAACCGGGGAGGGUCAUUGGAAACUGGUUGACUUGAGUGCAGAAGAGGAGAGUGGAAUUCCAUGUGUAGCGGUGAAAUGCGUAGAUAUAUGGAGGAACACCAGUGGCGAAGGCGACUCUCUGGUCUGUAACUGACGCUGAGGCUCAAAAGCGUGGGUAGCAAACAGG